rfam:Schistosoma mansoni, Puerto Rico, WGS project CABG01000000 data, contig: 0195
AUCCAGCUGACGAGUCCCAAAUAGGACGAGAAGCGCGUUUUGGAU